AGAAGGGCCUUGGCCGUAGAGGGAGUUCAAAAAACUAAGUAAUUAAAAAUGUCUGGGGACAACCUUUAUCGGAGCAGGGCGGGAAGCAGGCUAGCUAGCAGUAAACAGUACUAGCACAGUAGUCUGAAACUUUGUACUGCUUCAAGCUAUACAGUCCACGGCUCCACGCUGCUUCCAGGCGAUUUCUGCCUCUACGCAUUCUGUAUUGUCCUUCUUCUCAUGAACUGAGGGCGGACUGGAAGCAUCCAACACAUAUGGGCAUGAACAAUGCAUGAAUCCUUAAGCCAUGUAGACUUAAUCCCUCAAUUAAAAUUUGGGCUUUACACAGUACAAGGACCUCAAGAAAUGGUCUUAACUUAUCAAAUCAGCCCCUAAUAUUUUAUAGAUUUGCAUUUAGGUCCAAACUUUUAUCCACAGCACCUCACAAGCAUCAAACUAAUAUAGAAUACCCCCAAACCACUUUCCCCUCCCUCACGGUCACCGACGUGGAUCUGGAGGCCAGGGCUGGAGCUUCGGCAACAGGGCGGGAGAUUCGGCGGCGGGACGUGGAGGUCGGGAGGGGGGGCAGAGCUCGGGUGGCAAGGGGUGCUCCGGCGACGGGUCGCGAAUGUCGAGGACGGGCGGCGUGGCGUGGCUCCAGCGGGCGGAGCUCCGGCGACGGGGCACGGAGGGAGGGAGAUCCGGUGGCGGGGCGUGGAUGUCGAGGGGCGAAGCUCCGACGGCGGGCACGGCUCCGCCGGCGCAGAAGUCAGGCGAAGCUCCGGCGAGCAGACCUUGGGCGGUAGGGCACGGCUCCAGCGGGCGGAGCUCGGGCAGCGAGGCGCGGCUCCGCCAGCGCGAUUGUCGGGUCUGACGCAGCUCCGGGGAGCGGGGCUUGGGCGACGGAGCUCCGGCGACAAAGUGCGGCUCCGACGAGCGGAGCUUGGUCACGCUCCACGUGAGGAGGCGCUGCACCCACCUUUCUCUGACGAAUCUGACAAAGACACCAUCCCUUGCAGAAACAGCUCUACAGAGCCACCAUCCUCCGCACCUUCUCUUCUCUCCAAGUAAGCACGAUGCCUACGUAAAGAUUGACAAGGCCACUCACCACGUAUGCAUGGACUCACCACCUAUGCAUUGUCCAUGCCCUGUGGGCAUACACAAUGGAGGUCUCAGCAUGCCACGUAAGCUGAGGUUAUUAGUUUUACAAUGAAAGCCACUCUACUACAUUUUAUAUUCAACCCUUGCAUCUUUAUAAGUCAGUUAUUCCUUUUUUUUUUCUAUUAGCCAAAUCAAUUGAAUAUUUUACAUUUAAACACCUGAG
rnacentral:lncRNA from 1 species